rnacentral:lncRNA from 1 species
GUGGCCUUUUGGCAUUUAGCAGAACUCUGGAGGAUACUUUGGAGGCUUGCAGACACGGCUGUCGUUAGCACCGCUCGCACCUCUCGGCACGCCUCGUGGUCUUGGCAACCAAGAAUCAAAUUACAGCCCAUGCAAAUGGACCUCCUGUGCAUGGAUUCUAAAUGUGUUGGCCCUUCCUUGGCGCUCGCUCCACACAGCCUUGUGGAGUUGUUAUUCACACACGGGAGCAGAUGUUGUGAAGAGAAAACAGCGUGACAAGAUUGUGAUCGAUGCAUACUGCCCCAUCAAAAUCGCUGCAUAAUUUGGCGGAUGGCAUCAGGAUAACAACCCGCAUUAGCUGGAGACAGCUGUCGCCAUGGCGCCUGGGUAACUGGGCUGCUACAUUCUCUGCUCCUUAUUUCAGAUAGAAGCAGGACAGCCAAUUAGAGUGAUUUACAGCUGGGGUCGAGACCACCUUAAAGCCCACUCCCAGCCAAGCAAAAACAAAGGCAAGGCUACCUAGGGCAUAAAUGGAGAGG